UACGUAGGGUGCGAGCGUUAAUCGGAAUUACUGGGCGUAAAGCGUGCGCAGGCGGUUUUGUAAGCCAGAUGUGAAAUCCCCGGGCUUAACCUGGGAAUGGCAUUUGGGACUGCAAGGCUUGAGUGCGGCAGAGGAGACUGGAAUUCCUGGUGUAGCAGUGAAAUGCGUAGAUAUCAGGAGGAACACCGAUGGCGAAGGCAGCCCCCUGGGUCAAGAUUGACGCUCAUGCACGAAAGCGUGGGGAGCAAACAGG
rnacentral:rRNA from 1 species